AGAGUUUGAUCCUGGCUCAGGACGAACGCUGGCGGCGCGCCUAACACAUGCAAGUCGAACGAGAGAGGAAGAGCUUGCUUUUCCGAUCGAGUGGCGAACGGGUGAGUAACGCGUGAGGAACCUGCCUCAAAGAGGGGGACAACAGUUGGAAACGACUGCUAAUACCGCAUAAGCCCACGGCUCGGCAUCGAGCAGAGGGAAAAGGAGCAAUCCGCUUUGAGAUGGCCUCGCGUCCGAUUAGCUAGUUGGUGAGGUAAUGGCCCACCAAGGCGACGAUCGGUAGCCGGACUGAGAGGUUGAACGGCCACAUUGGGACUGAGACACGGCCCAGACUCCUACGGGAGGCAGCAGUGGGGAAUAUUGCACAAUGGGGGAAACCCUGAUGCAGCGACGCCGCGUGGAGGAAGAAGGUUUUCGGAUUGUAAACUCCUGUCGUUAGGGACGAUAAUGACGGUACCUAACAAGAAAGCACCGGCUAACUACGUGCCAGCAGCCGCGGUAAAACGUAGGGUGCAAGCGUUGUCCGGAAUUACUGGGUGUAAAGGGAGCGCAGGCGGGAAGACAAGUUGGAAGUGAAAACCAUGGGCUCAACCCAUGAAUUGCUUUCAAAACUGUUUUUCUUGAGUAGUGCAGAGGUAGAUGGAAUUCCCGGUGUAGCGGUGGAAUGCGUAGAUAUCGGGAGGAACACCAGUGGCGAAGGCGGUCUACUGGGCACCAACUGACGCUGAGGCUCGAAAGCAUGGGUAGCAAACAGGAUUAGAUACCCUGGUAGUCCAUGCCGUAAACGAUGAUUACUAGGUGUUGGAGGAUUGACCCCUUCAGUGCCGCAGUU
rnacentral:rRNA from 1 species